CAGGAGCCUAAGGUCCCUUGUAGGAACCUGCAUGGUUCCUUCUUCCCUGGAAGUGCAGUCCAAGAUGGAGAGGAUAUUGGGGAAUGUCCCAGCAAGCCCUCGGAUCAGAAAAAGGAUGAAGUUCAAAUGUCACAAUGUCACUACAGCCCUGCUGAGGGGACCUGAAUCACACCUCCGUGUAUUAGGUGGCCAACUUGAGAAAAAUCUAUAUUGGACCAGAAUGGAAAACAUGGCAGUGACAUAUCUGCAAACAAGUGUCGCACAGACAGUUCACCACCGAGAAAGGUGUUGACUUCAUAUUUUAUGUAUCUAAUCUCAGAGAAUUUUUAAAAGAGUGAAAAUAAAAAUGUAUUG
rnacentral:lncRNA from 1 species